CUCCUCUCAGUAUCAAACCUGGAGAGUUUCUAAUACUCUGCCAGUCUUGGCUAUGGGAGGGAAAGUCAAGCAGAGGCAUACCCAUUCCAUUCCUAGCUUCAGCAGUGAUUAGUGAGUGAAAGGCAAUUUGCUGCAAGU